AUCUCUUUGCCUUUUGGCUUAGAUCAAGUGUAGUAUCUGUUCUUUUCAGUGUAACAGCUGAAACGUCAUCAUUGAUGACUUUACUAAUUGUUACCUUUAUUUUUGGACUACCAGCUGGCAGGCUUGAUGGGCUUGCUCACACCUACCAGCACAGUGUCGAUGCCAUUGCACACCCCGGUUUCUGACGCAAAUCUUU
rnacentral:snRNA from 1 species